CAGCAGGAGCUGAGCGCUAGGCUUCCCAGGUGUCCGGAAUCCGGGUUCUCCCAGAGGAGAGAGGCUGUGACUAGUGCUGGCCGGGUUUGUACUUGUGUCCAAAUGCAGUGUCCCAGGGACUAAGUGUGGAGUCAGCCUGGGAGGUGCCCACUUGGGAGCAGCGACCCUGGAGUGGCAAAGGUGAGAAGCUGGGCAGGUCUCCGCAGUGUGCUCGGAACAGAAGACGUCCAGUCUCUCUGUCUUCAAGACAGUUGCUGAGAGCUGCGACCACGCGGUUUACAGAACUGGGGCGGCGGUCCCUUUCUGCCACCUCCCUGCUUCUGCCACCACUCUUUAUAGUAGGGUCCAGUGAUUUACCCUAAUGACCCACUGCCCUAUUUAAGCACCUCCCCACAUCUCCAGAAGAAUUUUAAAUAAGUCCUUAAGGUGGGGUAAGCUCCCACAGGCCUGUGAUUGCUGGUUUCAUUUCUUUGGCCUGCCUCCGGGUUCCCCUGGAGGAGAUGUCUGUGUGAGAAUGGAGGGAAGCGGGCACAGUAAACAGGGACGUCCUCCAGACUCGGCCAGUGGGGCGUCCAGUGGGUCAUUUUUGAUCAGCCCUGGGAUGGCAGGCAGACUCUGGAGCCUGUAAUCACAGGUUGCACGGCUGCUUGGGACGACAGCUUGAGGAUGCAGAACUCCUGCCCAAGUCAGCUGCGGC